rnacentral:ncRNA from 1 species
AAAACUGUUGGAGAGCGAUGAAAUCGCAUGAUUUCAUCCACCGAAGGGGCAAGCCCCGGAUCGAAAUCCGGGUGUGAAUCUCUCAGGUUCCAGGACAACAGG